UUUCCCUACGGGACGCAGCAGUGGGGAAUAUUGCACAAUGGGGGAAGCCCUGAUGCAGCAACGCCGCGUGAAGGAAGACGGUUUUCGGAUUGUAAACUUCUGUUCUUAGUGAAGAAAAAUGACGGUAGCUAAGGAGCAAGCCACGGCUAACUACGUGCCAGCAGCCGCGGUAAUACGUAGGUGGCAAGCGUUGUCCGGAAUUACUGGGUGUAAAGGGAGCGUAGACGGCAGUGCAAGUCUGAAGUGAAAGGCAAGGGCUCAACCCUUGGACUGCUUUGGUAACUGUGCUGCUCGAGUGUCGGAGG
rnacentral:rRNA from 1 species